CUUAAAUGGGAAAGAACGUAUGGGUCUAAUGAUAAGUAUAUUUGUCCUAGUAAUAAGCAUAAGUAUAUAGAUCCAAACUGCCUAAAUAAAGACUACAAUUAUUGUCCGUAUUGGUCCUGUGUGGGAUGGGCAACCUGGGGACAGACAGUAGAUAAGAAUAUGAUUAUCACUAGAUUGCCUACCAAGCCAUAUUGUAAGUCUAUGGAGUGUAACCCAGUCCAUAUACUUAUCAAGAACCCAGAGCUAUUUAUAGAUAAGUUUUGGAAUCUAUUUGGGUUCCAAAUAUAUGGAACAGGUUUGGAUCCUGGGACGAUAUUAUACAUAGGAAUAGAGACAGAUACAGUGGCCCCCCAGACUCAUCAGGUUUUCCAUUCUUUUUAUGAGGAGAUGAGUGUGGAAGAUAAGGUUCCCCAUAAUGCCAAAAACUUAUUCAUAGACCUAGUUGAGAGCAUUGCUGGUAGUCUUAAUGUAACCAACUGCUAUGUGUGUGGAGGUACUAAUAUGGGAGACCAAUGACCUUGGGAAGCAAAGGAGGUAAUGUAUUCUGGUUCUGAGACAGUUGAACAACUAAUAUCUUCUCAAUCUGGUUAUCAAGUGAGUGUUAGAGGUAAAUCUGAG